GGGUUCGAAUCCCUCUAUCCCCAGA
rnacentral:tRNA from 2 species